rnacentral:miRNA from 1 species
CAGUGGGGAGCACAGGGCAGGG